rnacentral:rRNA from 1 species
CAAUAGCGUAUAUUAAAGUUGAUGCGGUUAAAAAGCUCGUAGUUGGAUUUCUGCUGAGAACGACCGGUCCGCCCUCUGGGUGUGUAUCUGGCUCUUUCUUGGCAUCUUCUUGGUGAACGUUGCUGCACUUGACUGUGUGGAGCGCUACCCAGGACUUUUACUUUGAGGAAAUUAGAGUGUUUCAAGCAGGCAUACGCCUUGAAUACAUUAGCAUGGAAUAAUAAGAUAGGACCUCGGUUCUAUUUUGUUGGUUUCUAGAGCUGAGGUAAUGAUUAAUAGGGAUAGUUGGGGGCAUUCGUAUUUAACUGUCAGAGGUGAAAUUCUUGGAUUUGUUAAAGACGAACUACUGCGAAAGCAUUUGCCAAGGAUGUUUUCAUUGA